UACGUAGGGUGCAAGCGUUAAUCGGAAUUACUGGGCGUAAAGCGUGCGCAGGCGGUUGGGCAAGACAGAUGUGAAAGCCCCGGGCUCAACCUGGGAAUUGCAUUUGAGACUGCAUAGCUAGGGUGCGGAAGAGGGAAGCGGAAUUUCCGGUGUAGCGGUGAAAUGCGUAGAUAUCGGAAGGAACACCAGUGGCGAAAAGCGGCUUCCUGGUCCAGCACCGACGUUCAGGCACGAAAGCGUGGGGAGCAAACAGG
rnacentral:rRNA from 1 species